rnacentral:rRNA from 1 species
GCAGGCCUAACACAUGCAAGUCGAGCGCGAAAACACUUCGGUGUGAGUAGAGCGGCGGACGGGUGAGUAAUGCUUGGGAAUCUGCCCAGUAGUGGGGGAUAACGUGUGGAAACGCACGCUAAUACCGCAUACGUCCUACGGGAGAAAGCAGGGGAUCUUCGGACCUUGCGCUAUUGGAUGAGCCCAAGUCGGAUUAGCUAGUUGGUGGGGUAAUGGCCUACCAAGGCGACGAUCCGUAGCUGGUCUGAGAGGAUGAUCAGCCACACUGGGACUGAGACACGGCCCAGACUCCUACGGGAGGCAGCAGUGGGGAAUAUUGCACAAUGGGCGAAAGCCUGAUGCAGCCAUGCCGCGUGUGUGAAGAAGGCUCUAGGGUUGUAAAGCACUUUCAGUAGGGAGGAAAAGCUUGAGGUUAAUAACCUUGAGCCCUGACGUUACCUACAGAAGAAGCACCGGCAAACUCCGUGCCAGCAGCCGCGGUAAUACGGAGGGUGCGAGCGUUAAUCGGAAUUACUGGGCGUAAAGCGCGCGUAGGUGGUUUGAUAAGCUAGCUGUGAAAGCCCCGGGCUCAACCUGGGAACUGCAGUUAGAACUGUCUGACUAGAGUACAGUAGAGGGUGGCGGAAUUUCCUGUGUAGCGGUGAAAUGCGUAGAUAUAGGAAGGAACAUCAGUGGCGAAGGCGGCCACCUGGACUGAUACUGACACUGA